CUGGGGCAUGCGGUGAUAAUUUACUCGUCGGUACAGGGACCCCGGGUUCGAAACGCCGACACCUCCCUUGCACCGACAAAUAUCUCUGUCCCUGAUCUCCUCUCUGCGGCUGCACGCGAUAGAUCUCUGCUCGCUAGCGCACAAUCUGCUCGAUCUGCACGGUUCGAGCUAGAUCUGGUCGGUUCAAAUCCGCGUCGUUGUCGACUGGACGCACCGGGGAGAUUUGUGAUUCAUCAUAUGUUAGGCUUGGGUGAGAUUUGAUCGUUGAAUGAAUGAUCAGUUGGCGAUUCUACAGGUGGUAAAGAAAGCAGACAAAAAGGAAUGGGGCUCGCGUUUGGGAAGCUCUUCAGCCGCUCUUCGCCAAUAAGGAUAUGCAGAUCCUUAUGGUCGGCCUCGACACCACUGGUAAAACCACCAUCCUCUAUAAGCUCAAGCUUGGUGAGAUCAUCACAACCAUCCCCGCCAUCGGUCACAUUCAGAGGAACACAUUGGACAAGGUUCUAGACACUGUUGCAAAAGGAGGACAGACCUCAAGUAAAAUAGGAUUGUCGUAUGCUUGAGACGAUAACGAUGGAGAUCUUUUCAAAUAAUGGCUGGUCUUUUUAUCAUAGAUUGAGUGCUUGAAUUUGUGAAACCUUUGUCGAAUGUGAGAUUUUCAUUCCAGAGUGGAACCCUAUGUUUGUGAGUUUGAACAGUCACAUGUAUCAACCAAUACCGAAGCUGGAAUAUUAAUAAUAUUCCCUUUUCUAAAAAAAUAUUUGUUUCUUUUC